rnacentral:rRNA from 1 species
CCUACGGGUGGCAGCAGUGGGGAAUAUUGCACAAUGGGGGAAACCCUGAUGCAGCCACGCCGCGUGAGUGAAGAAGUAUUUCGGUAUGUUAAGCCCUAUCAGCAGGGAAGCAGAUUACGGUACCUGAUUAAGAAGCCCCGGUUAACUACGUGCCAGCAGCCGCUGUAAUACGUAGGAUGCGAGCGUUAUCCGGAUUUAUUGGGUUUAAAGGGUGCGUAGGCGGAUUUUUAAGUCAGCGGUAAAAUGUCUGGGCUCAACCCGGGCCGGCCGUUGAAACUGGGGAUCUUGAGUGGGCGAGAAGUAUGCGGAAUGCGUGGUGUAGCGGUGAAAUGCAUAGAUAUCACGCAGAACUCCGAUUGCGAAGGCAGCAUACCGGCGCCCGACUGACGCUGAGGCACGAAAGCGUGGGGAUCGAACAGGAUUAGAUACCCGAGUAGUC